CCAGAGAAUUUAGCAGAGAUGCUUUAGUGCCUUCGGGAACUCUGAGACAGGUGCUGCAUGGCUGUCGUCAGCUCGUGUUGUGAAAUGUUGGGUUAAGUCCCGNAACGAGCGCAACCCUUAUCCUUUGUUGCCAGCACGUAAUGGUGGGAACUCAAAGGAGACUGCCGGUGAUAAACCGGAGGAAGGUGGGGAUGACGUCAAGUCAUCAUGGCCCUUACGAGUAGGGCUACACACGUGCUACAAUGGCGCAUACAAAGAGAAGCGACCUCGCGAGAGCAAGCGGACCUCAUAAAGUGCGUCGUAGUCCGGAUUGGAGUCUGCAACUCGACUCCAUGAAGUCGGAAUCGCUAGUAAUCGUAAAUCAGAAUGUUACGGUGAAUACGUUCCCGGGCCUUGUACACACCGCCCGUCACACCAUGGGAGUGGGUUGCAAAAGAAGUAGAUAGCUUAACCUUCGGGAGGGCGUUUACCACUUUGUGAUUCAUGACUGGGGUGAAGUCGUAACAAGGUAAGCGUAGUGCU
rnacentral:rRNA from 1 species